rnacentral:rRNA from 1 species
UACAGAGGGGGCAAGCGUUAUUCGGAAUUAUUGGGCGUAAAGGGCGCGUAGGCGGCUUGGCAAGUGGAAGGUGAAAUCCCUCGGCUUAACCGAGGAACUGCCCUCCAAACUGCUUCGCUUGAGACCGGGAGAGGUGAGUGGAAUUCCCAGUGUAGCGGUGAAAAUGCGUAGAUAUUGGGAGGAACACCAGUGGCGAAGGCGGCUCACUGGACCGGUACUGACGCUGAUGCGCGAAAGCGUGGGGAGCAAACGGGG